rnacentral:rRNA from 1 species
AGAGUUUGAUCCUGGCUCAGGACGAACGCUGGCGGCGCGCUUAACACAUGCAAGUCGAACGGAGCUCACCCCUUCGGGGGUGGGUUCAGUGGCGAACGGGUGCGUAACACGUGAGCAACCUGCCCUGGUGUGGGGGAUAACCUCGGGAAACCGGGGCUAAUACCGCAUACGCUCCUCUGGGUCACCUGGCCUGGGGAGGAAAGGUGCUGCAAGGCACUGCAUUAGGAGGGGCUCGCGGCGUAUCAGCUAGUUGGUGGGGUAACGGCUCACCAAGGCAGCGACGCGUAGGGGGUCUGAGAGGAUGGCCCCCCACAUUGGGACUGAGAUACGGCCCAGACUCCUACGGGAGGCAGCAGUGGGGAAUCUUGCGCAAUGGCCGAAAGGCUGACGCAGCGACGCCGCGUGCGGGAGGACGCUCUUCGGGGUGUAAACCGCUGUCAGUGGGGACGAACGGCCGGGGGAGGCAAUGCCCCCGGUUUGACGGUACCCGCAGAGGAAGCACCGGCUAACUCCGUGCCAGCAGCCGCGGUAAUACGGAGGGUGCAAGCGUUGUUCGGAAUUAUUGGGCGUAAAGCGCGCGCAGGCGGUUCUUUAAGUCUACCUGUGAAAGACCGGGGCUCAACCCCGUGUUGGCAGGAGAUACUGGGGAGCUAGAGACAAGGAGAGGCAAGCGGAAUUCCGGGUGUAGCGGUGGAAUGCGUAGAGAUCCGGAAGAACACCGGAGGCGAAGGCGGCUUGCUGGACUUGGUCUGACGCUGAGGCGCGAAAGCGUGGGGAGCGAACAGGAUUAGAUACCCUGGUAGUCCACGCCGUAAACGAUGGGCACUAGGUGCCGGAGGGAUCGACCCUUUCGGUGCCGUAGCUAACGCGUUAAGUGCCCCGCCUGGGGAGUACGGCCGCAAGGCUGAAACUCAAAGGAAUUGACGGGGGCCCGCACAAGCGGUGGAGCAUGUGGUUUAAUUCGAAGCAACGCGAAGAACCUUACCUGGGCUUGACAUGCACGUGAAACCCUGGUGAAAGCCAGGGCCCCCUUUCGGGGCACGUGCACAGGGUGCUGCAUGGCUGUCCUCACCUCCUGGCCUGAGAAUGUGGGGUUAAGUCCCCGCAACGGACGGCAACC